UUUUACUUUCACCAACAAGCUUACUUUUCUUUUCUUUUAGCCACCACUUUCAUUUCUCAUUUAUUUUGCUUUCACAAUUUCACAAUACGCACAUAGAGAGAAGCCUUGAGAGAAACCAAGAAAGAUAGAACGAUCAACAAGGCGGUGCCGACCAUGGCGGAGUGGGGUUUAAACAAGUGAAGAAACUGAGAACGACGAAGAAGGCGUUGCCGGCCACGGCGGUGUGGGUUUAAAUGGCAAGUAGAAGUGGUGGUUGUCGCUCAGAUGGACGGGGGCGAUGGUAAAGCGUUUUGGUUUCUAUGACUCGGCUGCAGUGGUGGUUUCCGGUGGUCUAUGAUAAGGGACCACACAGCAACAACAACGAUGAUGGGUUUAGAGGUUAUCCUCAGCUGGAUCUUCCGGUCAUUACCACCGCUAAUAUCUAUAUUCUCCCUCCAAUCGCAUGAUAUCUCCAAAUCUCCGAUUACCUACUGUGCGUCACCGGUACCAACAUUCAAUGGCGGCGAUGGUGUUCUCCGACGAUUCUAAGGGUUGACGGCUCCUGGCCGGUUCUGGAAUGUAGAUGGGGUUCCGGCCAAUUUCUGGUAACUCAGAUGCGUUUCCGAUGAACCAAACACUAGCCCGAAUAUAUGGGAGGUGGUUAUGGCACAAUAUAUAAGGCACAAAGUAAAUCAGACGGAACGACAUUUGUUGUUAAAUGUAAGGAGCUGAGUAUUCAGUUAUGCUAUGCCUUUUUCGGUUCAACAAUGUCAAUUGACAAAGUAUUAUUUAUGAUGCAAAUGUAUUCAGUCAUGCCAUGCCUUUUACCGUUGACAACCACGAACAGUAGUUACCACUUACCAGGUGACCUUUCGAUUUAACUUCUAUUUCGCAAGUCAUCUCAAUGUACGGCAUUUGCAUCAACCGUCAACAAUUUUUUUUCAGUUUCCCCCAACUAAAAAUCCAAUUUUUUACUAAGUUCUAAAUUAAUACAUCUUGGUGUAUGUAUAAGUGUUAUUUAAUACAUUGGCUUAUUUGGUCAGAAAAAAUAAAACAUGUAUUUUGUUGGAAACUAUUAUUUUCAUGGGAAUCUAAAAUGGACAACUCCGAUCAACAAAAUGCACACGUCGGACCAUCACUAAUUCAUUAUUUAGUGUUUAUACAAAAGAAAUAAGUGACAACUGAUGCCAAAUGAAAGACCUAACAAUUAAUCACGAAGAAAGUGAUGCAGCCAUGCAGGUAAUGGAGUGUUUUAGAUUGGUUCAAAUAUAUUUUUUAACUAAUGAGGCGAUGAAGUGUUUCAGAUUGGUGAAAGUAACGCAGGUGAUAAAAGUGUUUCGAUUGGUGCAAAAAGUUUGAUGCUUCCGUUACAGAGCUAUAACUUGAUGGUAAGGCUCAACCACAAGUUAUUGUUUUCGCUGCUCAUAUUUAUAAUAUUUUAGUGUUAAUGUAUGAAGUCAAUGCAAAUGCUCUUUGAAUUGUGUAUAUUUCAACCAUUUGAAAUUCGCUUUCAUAUCGUGGAACCAUUUCUUGUGAAAGAGGUUCUAAGUUCAAAACCAUGGUACCUUCCUCUUCUACAGUGUUUACGCUUUGGAUUUAGGUUGUCCAAUUGGGUUUUUUUUCAACA